rnacentral:lncRNA from 10 species
AGUAAGGGAAAGCCGCCGGAGCUGGAGACAGGCUGGAAAGAGCAGGUAACAGCCCACAAGGAGCGGGGGCCCUGGCUGUCAGACUCAACUUGCAGGACCAUCAAGUGCAGGUGUGGUUCAAGAACCGGGGCCGCUUGCUCUGCGGUAGCAACGGCACAUAACCGCAGCGAUGACCAGGGCAGCCAAGCCAGCAGCCGGGACCCCGGGAUGCUCUUGGCACAUGAUCCGACUCCCCUGCCUUUGCGGGUCCUGUACUCCCGCGAGGUCCAGGAUUGUGCAGCCCCUCCCCAACCGGCCGUUGGGAAUCUUCGCAGCAGCAGAACCCGCUGCCUCCAGGUCCGACCAGACCUGCAUAGGUAGAGAGUCCCCGCACAGGGCGGCCAGCAGAGCUACCCAGCUGCCCCAGGGCCUCGGGACCCCUGGGCCUGGGACCCAGGCCAGACCCUGACUCAUUCGGUGAUCUCACAGGACUCCUCCCACCCCAAGACCCUUUCAGGGACCCUGCCUCGAACUCCACGACAUGGGAGGCAGGGGCGGGCCUUUUGCAGGGGAAGGACUCCCCCAGCAGGACGUUUACUGAAUCUGGAGGGAGUCGCCCUGCAGAUAUCCCGCGGAAGCCGGAGGAGACCCAGCAAUUCCAUUUUGGAAAAUUUAUCCUGAGGAAAUAAAUAAAGAUGUAAACAGAGAAUAACUUACAGAUGUGACGUUUGUGAUCGUUAAAACUGGAAACAGCGCAAGAGUGGACGAUAGGGGAUGAGAGAGCCACACAGCGCAUAGAAGAUGAUCAGUCUGAAGAGAGGGUUUUCAGACAUGCAAUUAACUGCUAUUCACUGUACUUCAUUUUAACUGCAAA